ACCACCGCUUGCCUAGAUUCUUUGCAGAGUCUGAGGAAAUUUGGCCUGGUUUUCCUAGGACUAGGGAAUGAGCUCCGGAGGUCAAUAAAGCCCUCCAAAAAUGAUGAAUGAUUGAGCACCUGUGAUGAUGAUAGUGAUUACCAGAGCAAUUAAACAGUUUGAUUAAAUGAGCCAUCAUAACAAUGAUGUCUGCGGGAAAUCGGCCUUCUCAUAUAAAGACACUGUGGAGGGGCUGGCAGAGGCGCGGAGAGCGCGCCGGGAGAGGGGCCGCGGCCCGCGCGGGGUUGACUCCAGUGGCCAAAGCAGGGACGGGACGGCGGGCUCUGGGAGCAGACUCAAGCCCAGGCUUUCCGACUUGGUUCCUCCCUGGCUUCAAGCCUAAAACACCCGAUUCUUCUGAAACCUGAAGGACCACAGGGUCCUUUCCCUUCCCCCUCCCCCUGUUUUUUUCUCCCUAGAAGAACUCCAAGAUUACAAACAUCCACUUCAUUUGACGCUCUUACUCGUCGACACAUAAGAAAAGGUCUGUUUGGAUAUUCAAAGAAGCUACACCUACAAAGACGGUUUGGCUCCGUGCCGUCAAUCCCAGCAUUAAAAAAGUGUUACUUGAAGAAAGUCAUCGGCCUUCUCGAGAUACUUCCAGGUUUGCUGUAAUGAUCUGCAGAAGAGAACCGCCACCACUUUCUCACAUCCCAAGGUGUUGGCGGAACUGGAGCGAGGGGAGAGUGACUGCCAGGC